rfam:Ixodes scapularis strain Wikel colony gcontig_1108379105944, whole genome shotgun sequence.
GCCUGGUUAGCUCAGUUGGUAGAGCGCUCCAAUGGAAAUGGAGAGGUACUUGGUUCGAUACCAGGAUUAGGCA